GGAUUUUAAAAGUCUGUUAAUGUCAAUAGGUGGGAGGUCAUGGGUGGGCUGCCUGGUGGUGACCUUCGAAUGAGUUGAUUAUGCAAAUGAGAACAGUUGCAAAUCCUAUCUCAUAAACUGUGUCUGAUAAGGAAAAUUUUUCAAUUAUAAACUUGUUCGGCAUUCAAUUCUGAACAUACUAAAAAACCUUCAUCAAAAUUGGAUGAAUUCUUCUCCAAAAACGAAACAAAAGCAUUUUUACAAGCAAAUCAUGUCACAUACCUUUCCACAUCUGGUACAGGAAAUUUCUGGAAGUUUCCACAACAGCAUCAUUUUUCUGUUUAAUUUGUAUAAAAAGCUUCUUGCACAUAUGUGCAAUUCAAUGUACUUGUGCAAUACAAUGGAUGAAUAUAUACUUAAUGAAAUGACUGCCAUGAUCGUAUUCUAUGUACUACUAAUGUGAAUGUUGCUGCUGCAGCUCAAUUUUAUUAGAAAAGAUAUCUGUCAACAUGAACACUCAGAUCUAUCAUACAUUAAUUCCUUGAAACACCCAAGAUCAGAUCACCCACAAAAUAGCAACUGAUGAGCCACAACUGCUUUCAUUCUUGCAUAAUAACAAUAGAGGAUCUUGAAGAUCCCAUCAUUACUGCUUAUACAGAGAAUUUUACUGACACACUAAUGGCUGUAAGGAUCUCCACCCAACACCACACUCAACUGUACUUGGGUACUGGUGGAAGACAUUUUGAGCACAUCCUUGAUUAGUUUUUGCUUGUUUAUUAGGCUCUGUGUUUUCAAUUUAUUGGUUUGGAGUGUUAUGUUUUGGAGUUUUUUUGUUAUUUACAUAUCAGAAAUAAUUGUUAACCCUUUGCAUUGUAAAAAUAUUUUCUUUUGUUUUUGUGUGAACUAUUCAUUUGAUUUCGAUGAAGUUUCCUUUUACAAUGUUCAGAUUUGAAUGCUGG
rnacentral:lncRNA from 1 species